GCCAGGUAUAGUGGUGCAUGCCUAUAAUCCCAGCUACUUGGGAGGCUGAGGUGGGAGAAUUGCUUGAGCCCAGGAGUUCGAGGCUGCAGUGAGCUAUGAUUGCACCACUGCACUCCAGCCUGAGCAACAGAGCAAGACUCCGUCUUUA
ensembl:misc_RNA Metazoa_SRP Metazoan signal recognition particle RNA